UCGUCUUAUGGUCAGCGACGGGAUGAUGAAGUCUCUCAGCUGCGUAGGGAGUCCGAUGAGUUGCGUAGAGAGUCUGCUGAGCUACGUCACGAGUUGAGCUCGACAUGAUCUCGUAUGGGUGGACUCGAGGGCUUCUUGGACGUUGUAGCGGCCACAAAUCCGGAAUGGGAGACCUUGUUGAGGACCAUGCGACAACGAAAUCCUAUUCCAGGCGAGUCAACAUCCGACACACAUGCCAAGGCGGAUGUAACGGCGAGGAGUGAUGAAUUCUACCGGCGAUUAACGACCCUUAGUUCUUUUUAAUUUCGGUUCUUGUAUUAUGAAUUCAAAACUUAUUUAUAUAUAAAAUAUUUUGGUUUUGAUUUUUUUAGAAUUUUAAUUUUAUUAAUAAUUUAAAUUAUUUAACUUAUUUUUUUAAUUAUAUUUUUUUAUAUUUCUGUAAAAUAACGAAACGAAGUAAAUUCGUAGCUAAUUUUGUGACUUCUUUACGUCGAAGCUUAACGAGGUUUUUACGAGGAAAGAUUUACAAGGAAAUGACGUGGAAAGUUCACGUGGUCUUUACGAGGAAAGCAAUCAAGGUAUUUACGUUUACUUUACGAGUAUUUACUUUCAAGUUAUUUACGUGGGUUUUACGAGGAACGGCUUUGGAGGUAUUUACGAGGAAAUUUAGCGACGUCCUUACGUGGAAGCUUUACGUGGUCUUUACGACCAAAUAUUCUUCUUCGCUUUUACGGCGAAAUUAUUUCCUCGCUAUGUUACGACGAACUAGCGAGGAUAUAUGCGUUACGACAAACGUAUAACGACGAAACGGGUUUCCUCGCUAAUUACUCGUAACACUGAUUUUACGACGAAAUCACGAGGAAAACUGCCCUCGUAAAACUUGUGUUUUCUUGUAGUGUUCAAUUUAUAAAUAGUAAAUAUUCAGCUAUUCGUUCGGUUCUCAAAUUCAAUUUUAUUUGAUUUCAGAUUUUCAGUUUUAGGAAUAUAGAAUCCAUUCAGAGAAUUUCUUGUAUUCAAAUAUAAUUUUAUUUUCAGUUUAGUACAGUUCCUCAGUUCCAAGGAAAUGUGUACAUACCUACAUAAGAUAUUGAAGAUAGGGCUGACAGCAGGAAAUUGAACUCAUAACAGUUUUGGUUAUCGGUGACCUCAUAACAGUUUUGUUUUUCGGUUUAGUUUAAAGAUUAGGCUACGAUUGGUAAACAUCGCUUAAUUGCAGAAUCGUAAAAAAUAGUUAAGCUGCGGAAAAAUUAAAAAUACGGAAUGGCGGAACACAUAUUAUAUAAAUAAAAAUAUUUAUAUGAUAUUAACUUUAUUAUAAGAAAAACAAACACUAAUUAUUAAACUAAUUAUUAAAAAAUCUGAAAAUAACUAAAAUUUAUUAAAAAAUACUUUACUUCUUAUUAUAAAUAUUUUGCUUAUUUUUAUAUACAUUUUUAAUAAUAAACUGACAUCUUAUAAUAUUAUUAAAAAAAUAUAAUAUAAUUUUCUUUACAACAUAACUAUUUAUCAUUAAAAUGAUAUUAUCAUGUGAAAGUGUUGAUUUUGUAAGUAAUCAACUAAAACUCACGUUUCUACUUAAUAAAAUUUUUCUUUGUAUUUUUAUCAGCAAAAAAUGCAAGUUUGUGUUUUUGCUUUUUUUUCAUACCGCAAUUUUUGUUGAUCGGCAAAAAAAACUUGCAGAAUUCCGUAAUGUUACCAAUCGGGCCUAAGCUUCUAUUCAAUUUGGAAAUUGAACUCAUACGGUUAGUUCUUUAGUUUAUGGAUUAAGCUUCUAUUCAAUUUGGAAAUUGAACUCAUACUGCUAGAGUUUUUGUCCGUAUUUGGGUCUUGAUCGGUUUAGUUAACCGGAACUAAAUUCGCCGGUGAAAGUUAAUUUCGUAUAAGAUGACCAUCCUCGCUCGGAGGUACAAGGCAAUGGGUCUAAGCAUGCAAGAUGUGCUUUUCCUCGGUAAUGACGUCAGUGUAUAUGCUCAAAAUUUUCACAAGGAAACUACCGGUUGUAGAAUAUUUAGAUGCAGUCAUUAGGAAAGGUGCUGAAGUGAAGUUGGCAGCAAAUUGGAUAAUGAGUGAUUUUGCCGCUUAGUUGAAAAACGAGGAACUCUCUAUCAAUAAUGUUAAACUUAGUCCUCAAGAGUUGGCUGAGCUGAUAGCUGCCAUCAAAGAUGGAACCAUUAGCGGAAAGAUUGGAAAACAGGUCAGUUCAACUUCAUUUUAAUCUAAAAAUGUAUCAUCUUUUUUUGUUUGUUUAGAUCAAUGAUAUUUAUUCAAAUUUUGCAUAUACUCUUUGAGCUAUUGGCUAAAGGUGGAACCGUCCAAGGAAUGAUCAAGGAAAAAGACUAUUCCACAAAAUGAGGAGUUCGAUCCAGAGAAAUGCAUAACUGAUUUUUUGCUUAUGUGUGACAUAUGCUGCAGCCUGCAGAUAACCGAUCCUGUGGAGAUGGAGAAAAUGGUUAUGAAGGUGUUCUCCAAAUCUCCAAAGCAGCUUGAGCAGUACCGAAGUGGGAGAACCAAGCUUCAAGGCUUUUUUUGCUGGCCAGGUAAUGAAACCGUCAAAAGGCAAAAGCAAACCCUGCUUUACUUAACAAGAUUCUUCUGGAGAAGCUCAACGCGAAGGAGUAAUUGAAGUACAAGCUUCAGCUUUUGGCAGUUGAGAUUAGUGAAAAGUGUUUUCCAAUUACUGUUUUUCUGUAGAGAUUUGUUAAAUUCUACUAAAAAGAAUUGAUUUCGAUAGAUUGUGGUAGUGGCAAUACAACGGAUAUUGAAUUGGUACAUAAAGAUUUUGACUAACAAUGACGAG